rnacentral:rRNA from 1 species
GGACUACUCUGAGUGAUUUCCGUUAGAGAAAUCUUUUGGCCCCUCUAAAAAUGGUGCAAAAUAAGGGGUGGGCAAGUCUGGUGCCAGCAGCCGCGGUAAUA